GAUGAACGCUGGCGGCGUGCUUAACACAUGCAAGUCGAACGAGAAUCCAGUGAAGGAGUUUUCGGACAACGGAUCUGGAGGAAAGUGGCGGACGGGUGAGUAACGCGUGAGCAAUCUGCCUUGGAGUGGGGAAUAACGGUUGGAAACAGCCGCUAAUACCGCAUGAAACAGCUGAGUCGCAUGGCUCUGGCUGUCAAAGAUUUAUCGCUCUGAGAUGAGCUCGCGUCUGAUUAGCUAGUUGGCGGGGUAACGGCCCACCAAGGCGACGAUCAGUAGCCGGACUGAGAGGUUGGCCGGCCACAUUGGGACUGAGACACGGCCCAG
rnacentral:rRNA from 1 species